rnacentral:rRNA from 1 species
GAUUAACGCUAGCGGCAGGCUUAAUACAUGCAAGUUGUACGGGAUUAUUGGUAGCAAUACCGAUAUGAGAGUAGCGCACGGGUGCGUAACACGUAUGCAACCUGCCUUUAACUGGGGAAUAGCUCACCGAAAGGUGAAUUAAUACCGCAUAAAAUCAUAGAAGGACAUCCUUUAUUGAUUAAAUCUCCGGAGGUUAAAGAUGGGCAUGCGUCCGAUUAGCUAGUUGGCGGGGAACAGCCCACCAAGGCAACGAUCGGUAGGGGGUCUGAGAGGA